AUCGUACAAAGGGUUUCAUUACAAACAUUAGCACAUUCAUAUCACGUAGUACUUGGAUGUCCUAAGAUCCACCUGUGCCCUGGGCAGCUGUGAUAGAGUGAUAAAGUGAGUGGGACCUCAGCCCAGCGUGUGUCUGUGUGUUCCUGCUCACAAGGAGAGCGCUGGGAGAGAGCACAGCGUACUCUGCCUGGGAGGACUCCUGUGGACUAGGAGUGGUGUAGAAGGAGUGGUUGCUCUUCUCUUGUACUGUAGCCAUGCAGUUUUUUAUCUGGAUACUGGGCUGCUUAAUGCUGGAUUCUUUCCUGCUUGGACUAUGCGUGGAGGGUCGAUGGAGAGCAUCUCACAUGGAUCCCUCCCUCCAAGAAGGCAACUCUCCUAUCUCCGAGAGCUCAGCCACCCUACAACAAGGGAAUGGGCUUGUGGUAGUUCAUGAUGCGAAUCCCUCUAUCCUUACCUUUCACCACACUGGUAUAGGCGGCCAUGACAGCAAGUACUCCUUUACAGUCACAGCCUUGGAUGAGAACAUCACCACAUAGAAUCAAAGACAUGGACAUAGACUGAUUCAUGCACUCUACAAAAUGACAGGAGAGGAAAUAAGCAUUUCAAAAAGAUGUGGCAUUAAUAUGGUAUGUGCAGGCAGAAAAGGUCCUCUUGGGUUUAAAGGAGACAAGGGUGUCAGAGGGCAGGAGGUCAGGAGAGGUGAUACAGGCUUCCCAGGUCCUCCAGGACUCCCCACCCUCUACCUUUGGAGGAACUCCCAGGAGGACAGGACUUCCUUCAGGUGACUACAGGCCCAGAGCUGUGUGAAUUUUCCACAGCUGUUGCAGGCAGCUGGGAGCACACUGGGGCCGGUGAGAGAUUUCGAUUUUACUUUGAGCAAACAGUUUAUUUGUUUAUUUGGAUACCCAUUAGCUUUUGCAGAAGCAGCAGCUACUCUUCCUGGGGUCCACAAAAAAUCACAAAACUUGACAAGUAACUAAGCACUGAUACACACAUUUAAAAUACAACAAUAUACAAACAAUAAAAAUACAUAAAAAUUGUGUGUCAGUAUGUCUGUGU
rnacentral:lncRNA from 1 species